AAGGCAGCCGGCACACACAGAUACCGCCUGCUGCUGCCUUGAUUGGGUAGAAAUGACUCAGGCCUACAAUUCUGUUCGUUAAAGGGGUUGAGUCCUUGUAGGCUCAGGAAUGGAGAGGUGGCUUCCAGUUCCAGUUCCCAGGAUGCUGAGAACCGUUCUGGUUGGUGGCAGGUUUCCUAUGUACAGUAUGCAUUCAUAAGGCCUGAGGUAUCCACGAGCGUUCCUGAUCAGCUUCCUGCGGCUCCACCGUUUCUGUUAGAUGCAUGCCUCUGCCUGACUGCAGACAUAACUGUGGCCAACUGCUUCAAGCUCUAGCCGCUAUGCCUUUCUAGCAUGGCAGACCAUGUCUCUCAAACUGUAAGCCCAAGUUGACCUUUCUGCUCCGGAAUUGCUUCUUCUCAGGUACUUUGUGAU
rnacentral:sRNA from 1 species